ACGACAAAUAUUUCUACGUCCUACGUCCAUUCAUGAUUUCUCUGCCCUCUUAAAGCAAUUGGCGGUAUUGUACUUAAUAAUUAUAAACAAGAGAGAAAUUUGUUUAUUACUAAUCCUGAAUUUAAUAAGCACGGUCACAAACAGUCGCCAAAAUUCUCAAUCACUCAUAUUCUUAUGGUUACCUUGGAGCUCCAGCAACAAUAGGUCAUAUAAUAUGAUAGAAAUUAGCUUAACAGAGUAUAUUAUCAUGACUUUUGGCGUUUUUCUAAUCUUGGCUCUGUUGUGCUGCCUUUGCUGCAUAUAUAUGAAGAUAAGUGACCUCCGGAUGAAAAGCUACAUAUUAGAAAUGGCGAGCCAGAAAGGCAUAGAGGUAGACCUAGACAAAAUGGAACCGAAAUAUGCCUUACAGUCUUCACUUUCAAAUGAAAACUGCACGAUAAUUGUACCAGAUGUUGUUGUAGUCCUUUAGCUCAUGAUUUGACAAUGGAAAGGGCAUUUGGCUCUUUGGUAUGUUAAGCUAUCAGGAUGCUUCAAGCAGUUAAGUGAGGCAAGCAUGGCAAGCAAGUCACUUCGAUAUACAGAAUAUAGGAAAUUAGGACGUACUUUACAACCAUGACAGGUACAUGAACAAGAAGAUUGAGAAAGAGUGAGGAAUGCCGCCGGCACAGUAACUUGCUCCGGCUCCAAGGAAUUGGGCUGAAUUAAUGCAACAAGCAAUCGACAGCCCGCCUGUCGCUCGUCAUCCUUACACUACAUGUAUAUGACAGGUACAAGAGUAUGUGAUGACAGAGAAAAAGAAGGUAUAAUGUAGAUUAAUUUCUUGCCAAACAUUAGAUAUGAUAAUAGCAUUGUCUUAUGGUAAAGCUAUUAAUUAUCUGUUCUGUGCCAAAGGAUUUGAGUAAGUACAUGAAAUGUACAUACAUUCAAUAGUACAGUAGGCACUCGGUAAUCCGGCACCUGGUUUUUCCCCACUUUACUGGAUUGUUGGUACUGCCCACCUGCCGGAUUAGUCGAUUUGGGAAAUAAAAGCUCGAGAACAAACACGUGGCACUACCAAACAAUGCAACCACUGUAAUCCGGCUUAUCCGGCAUUCGGCUGUGGACUACUGGGCGUAUGGAUGUAUGUGGAUUACUGGACGUGCGGGAUUGAUGUGUGCUGGAUUACCUAACGCCUACUGUAGUUCAAAGAUUUCGAUAAAAGGGGACCCUUGACUACUUUAGAUUAGCAAAGGAUUAAGCUGUUAAGUAGAAAGACUGGAAUUCUAGUGCUUGUAAGCUGAGCUAGAUAUGCUGACUAAAUCCCAUUUUAGAUAUUCAUGCAAAGCUUGUAAAUAUCUCGAAUUGAUUCAUACAGUCAUUUAAAAACCUGGAUUUUGGUCUUAGUAAGAAGUUGGCCUAGUCUUGUAACUUUUUUGUAUUAUAUGAAUCUGUUUCUUUUAAUUUGAAUGUGAUUUUAACUUAUCCAAGUUUAUCAAAUGUUAAUAAACUAUGUUAAAACAAAAUUAUUAUGAUCUCAUACAUGCAAUUGAAUAUUUGCAUAGGUAACUUAGGUUUUAAAUAUUUUAGUCGUAUUAAAAUAUUCAAAUUCUUUUUCAUAGAUUGAAAAAUGUAGUUUAAUAGCAUAGAGUUUAAUAGGAUUAAAUAUCUAAGAAGUAGGUGGUUUCUAAAUUUAGUAUUUUUUUAUUAUGAUUUAGUCGUUUUAUUGUGAAAAAGCUAUUUUAUUACAAAUAAGAAACAUCUAGUCUAAAAUAAGCCAAAUUGGUUGACUUGCCUUGCCUUCAUAGUUUGUAUGGCGCUCCGCCACUGCUAGACACAAAUUAAGCUCUGUUUUUAUAUCCUAGAUACUAAAAUGAAAGUUUGGUUUACCUACCCAUUUAUGGAGUCAUUUCAGUCCAGAGAUUUGGAAUGAUACUAACGCUUAAAGAUUAUUCUUCUUGUUCCUCGGACCCUCAUUGCUGAGGAUCGCGAUCAUGUAUGCUCCGUCUCCAUAGUCAGGAGGGCCGUAUGCUUGUUAGCCACCGACGUGGUAUAAAAUAUAAAAUAAAUUAGUGUGCGGUCAUAAGCCAUAUGGGUCACGCAUUACAUGUUGCCGCCAACCACCCUCUCCACAGCAUCAGACCAUCUCAUGGGUGGUUUUCCUUACACACGCUUGCCAUCCAUAUAACCUAAGAUAAUCUGCCUUUCACGAAGAAAGAUUAUUGAGGUGUGUAAAAAGGAAGCCAUCACAUACAUAUAUGAACAUUUUAUGAGUGCGAGAAAAGCAGACUACAAACGGAAAAACUUGGCCACUUUUUUUAGGCUUCGGCGGUCGCUAGCGGCCGCUUGAAUGUAGGUACCAAAACGUAAGGUUAGCGGACUAGAAAAUAGGCGUUUUCUAAAAUAAAUGAAUAUUGAAAACCUGAUUCUCACAGAUCCUGGUGUUUUUUGGUUCUUUCAACUCAGAAUCACUAGCAUAUUCAAUCCUGAUGAAUGAUGAUAAAAAAAAUGUCCCAAAAAUUUGUAUGAAAAUUGUAAAUUCCACUACGUUACGCACAUACAAAUGAAAAAAAAAACACACUAAAACGUGACGUAAUGGAAUGGACAUUUUGGGACAUCUUAUUUUAAUUGCAGGAUGGAGUAUGCUGUUGAUCCUGAGUGGAAUGAGCCCAAGAAAGUCCAGAUUUAAAAGAAUCAGGUUUUCAAUAUUUAUCUUGAUGUAUUCAUUCGGGAGAUAUGGUGGGUGGUUAAUAUCUUGGAAUAUACUGUCACAAAAGGAAAUAAUAUUCGCAACUUAUUACUUCUGAAUUCAAUAUUUCCAAUGACACUUCUGACACUUGAUAUUAUUCCGAUUUUGGUCCCACUUUUUAGGGUUCCGUACUCAAAGGGUAAAAACGGGACCCUAUUACUAAGACUCCGCUGUCUGUCUGUCUGUCCGUCUGUCACCAGGCUGUAUCUCAUGAACCGUGAUAGCUAGACAGUUGAAAUUUUCAGAGAUGAUUUACCUAUUUCUGUUGCCGCUAUAACAACAAACAAAAUAAAUAUUUCCCCUCCCAUACAACAAACGUGAUUUUAUUGCAGUUUUUUGCGUAAUGGUACGGAACCCUUAGUGCUUGAGUUCGACUAGCACUUGGCCGGUUUUAUAUUUGACGCUGCAAGGUCAGUACAGAGUACCUAUUUUAUACUAAAAUUGCAGAUUGCUUGGACAAAUUACAGCAAUAGCUGUCAGUUUAGUGUUUCGGAUAUAAAAAUAAGGUAUAAUGACUAAUAAACUGAAUCUUAGUGCCAAUAAAAAACAAAAACAAUGCUUUUAGGGUACUGCAGCCUUAUGAGCCGGUACUUCUAUUAGUCUCUAUGACCUCUUUACAAAUUUAAUAGAAUAUAAUAAAUAGGUAGGGUAGAGGGUAGAGUAUUACGGCGUAUAACGAUUUUUGAAGCUUGACGCAUUGAGUGCCGGGAACCUGCUUGGGGGGUUAGUUAGUUAGUUAGUUUUGCUGGGCAUUUUCCGCAACUCGACAUCCAAUGUGCCUAUUUUGCGUGAAACGAGGUAGCGCUACUCUAACCACCCCAGCUCCUCCACGAAGCCUUGGUGCUUGGGGGGUUCUCUGUUGAUAGUCGCUUUCCACUCCAAAGCGGGAAAACGCUGGGAUCGGCUACGAGCAUAGCGCUACGAAAACGUUGGCAGCGAAUGCGUUAAAUAAUGCGAAUUGGUCUGGUGAUUGAUCGUCUUAAUACUCUUUAUUAACCACUUAAAAUGCAUGUAACAUUUAAUGUUCCGUUCCAGCGCCGCUUCAGAGCGCUGGCGUAGGUUUUGGUGUUAGUGAUUUAUCAUUUUUAUUGAAUGAAAAUCUCACUAGGUGGAGUCGUCUAGUGAAAACAGCCAUCUAGCCCUCAUAUUUUAGUGUUCUAGUCAUUUAUGACUACCUAUAAGCAGGGGUGCGAAACUCCUCCUUUCGGGUAUUCUCGGCUCCGUUCGGCUCAGUAUUGCUCCGAGCAAUUAUUAGGGUUGACACUACUUGACGUCCCUUUGCGUGCACGAAUACAGAUAAGAUAAUGACUUGAAUUUUGAUAACCCUAAAUAGCCGAUAGGGAUAGUGCCAUAUUAGAAAGGGACAGCAUGAUUCGUCCCUGAACCGCUGUCAAACUUCGAUUUUGUAGGAAGUUUCCUUUUUGUACGGUGGUACUAUUAUUUAUUCUGUGCCUAUGCCUAUAUAUAGGAAGAUUGUGACAUUGUGAGAUGUUGGCCUUACCAUUGUAAUUCUAACAAAAUAUUUGUGAAUUGACUUUUGUUCUUCUUUCCCUGUAAAAGUAGUUUCCCUGUAGGAAAUUCUUCGCGUAUGUGUACUUAAUUAUACGAUAUACUUAUUGUAGAGAAAUGAGCCCCAGUAAUAUAUGAUCAUUUGUCAAGAGGGCGCUGUUAUUCUCAUGUAUAGGGUGAGAGUUCAGUUUAGUAUGAAAAAAUUAGUCCGUCCGUCACAUUCAUAUGUGCCGGGCUAGUCUUUAGUAGUCUUCAGAGACAAGUAAAUAUUAAAGACGGACAAUUUACGGCACCGCGUUCUUCGCGCGCUUCUUUACUAUUUUUACAGAUUUAGCUUCAUAAGUAGCUACCUACGUAUAAAAUUGUCACCUAACCUACUGCUAUUUAUGAGUUUAUGACUUCUAAACGAAAAAUUACAAAAAUCAUUUUAGGCAUAUUCUUGGUGCCACCUAGUUUUUACAGCGUUGUAUGGGUUGUCAGUCUUUAUUUACUAGACUGGUAAUGUUGUAAGAAUGUACCUAGUCACUAUGUAUUUAAUGUAUUUUGCUUAAACGUACCAAUGACAUGCAUUUUAGUAUCUAAGCUAUUGGCUUAAGGGACUCCCAUCCGGGCCAUAAUUGUUUAAAAAAAUGUCUAAGUUAAAGGAUAAUCAGUCUGUAGGGCUAUGGGCCUACCGCGAACCACGUUCGACGUAUUGCCUCCCUGUCACACUUACAUACGAAUUUACAAGUGCGACAGGGCAAUACGUCGAACGUGGGUCGCGGUAGGCACUCUGUACGUACCUACUGGGUUUAUGGGCGCGGGACGUCGAAAUUUGAUAUAUCUAGGUAGGUAGCUAGAUUAGGUAGAUAGUCUACGUCAAAAAUAUGUAUGUACAGUCGGCGCUCGGAAAUCCGGCACCUGAAAUUUUGACUUGGAUUGUUGGAACUGCCGGAUUAUUGGAUUUGCAUGGGCCGCCGAUGCCGGAUGAGAGCGAAAUUACAUGUAACCGCUCUGUAAUUCGUCGUUCGGCUGUUGAAACUAUUUGCAAACUGCCGGAUUAUAGAGCGGUUCACCUGAGGCGCUAAUUGUCGGAUUAAGGAUGACUCAUGCUAGACAGCCGGGCCCGGGCCGAGGCGUCCGACAUGUCAUUUUCUAUGACGGCCAUGAAUCUAGUAUAACUGGAUCGGUCAUGAUCGAACGAGAUAGUCUUAUGUAUCUUUCAGUAGGAGUAGCAAAUAAAGCGCUGUUAUUGUUUGUCCUUGUCACAGUCUCACUUUUUUUUUUAUACCCCACCGUAAUUUUAGUAUGGUUUAUGGUGGGCUACAAAUCUAUUCGACCAAUCAUAUCGUCGCAUUGCGUAUGUUUUGUCCCUCACGGGCGCACGCGUAUAGCUGAUGUAUGUAAUGCUAGGUCUAUGAUGACGGCUGAUCGGUGUUCACGUGGUGCUCUCGAAAACGAAGCGCCGGAAGCUCCGGCCCGGCCCCGGUCCGGUCUAGCGUCAGUCAUCCUUUUCAGGGCGUUCCGGAUUGGCGAGCGCCGGAAAUAGUGAACACCUGUUGUAUAUGCAUGUAAGCACUUUACUCCUUUGUAAUAAGUAGAAAAAUGGAAACAUUUAUGACGUCGACUGCGCCAUAGAAGGCAAAGAAAAGGAAUAACGAGACGCACAAAGUGGUGUAUAAUAAUUUAAUAAUGUCCGUAGUG